UCCAAAGUAUGGGAUUAUUUCAAGCUAAAGAAAACUCUGUAAUGUUACCGUCCAUCCAACGUAAAACAAAACUUAUGCCGCCUCAGCAACAGCACGACGGGACCUGAUCAGAAAGCCCCGAACUGCACCUUUUAACUCACCUCCAGCUCUCUCUGUAGCUCAAACAAUCCUCCCAGAUUCUUUGUCUUUAUAGUUGCCAUCUUUAUAAUAACAAACAGCUGUUUCGUGUGCAGGAUCGCUCAGUUCCCGUUUCUCAUUUCCCGUAUGUUUUCUUGACAAAUGUGGUUUGGAGACCAGCAUUGGGUGACACAGCCGCUAUCAGCUCCUGUAGUGUGUGACCCCCUGUCACCGAUCAGUCACGUAGUGUGAACACCUAUAACCUAUAACUUGUACUCGGGUGAUGUUUUUGUUUGUAAAGCAGCAGUCUGGUUGUUGGUCUGAUGUUUGCUGUAUGACACUAUGAAUUUCCGAGCAAAAGUACUUCUUAAACGACGCAUCACUGAUUCAUUGAAAUAAUCUAUAGAUGCUUUGAAUACGAAAAUCAUCGUUAGCUGCAGCCCUAGUUGAAUUAAGAAGAGAAGAAGUCUGUGUUAGUGUGUUUGGUAGGUGGGAUGGAAGUGUGGACUGGAGUGAGGUGGAGUGAGAUGGAGUGAGACGGUGGGAGCAAGAAAAGUUGUGGAACAGCAAAUUUGCAGUAAGCUAAUGAGUGUACCAAGGGGCACAUUAGUUAUUUAUUUCCUGAGCUUGUUUCGUUAAGAGAAGGGCACAGCAAUUAGCUUUGAGGAGAUGACAUCCCUAAGCGCCCUUGUGCUCGGCUGCGAGGCAACACAAGAGCCCUGUCUGAAAUGCUAAACAACCUGUAGGGUCUGGUGUGAGGGGGACGGGAAAUAGCGUCACACAUGUGACCUGGCAUCUCUAAAGCAGCGUGGCCACCUGGAGCUAAAUUAUGUGGGAGUGAGAGAAAGAGAUAGUGGCUGGCUUGAAAUCCACCGCAGCUGAAAAAGAGAAAGGUUAUGUGGAUGGUGACUCAGCUUUGCAUAUGAAACAGAGUCUGACAUUAUUUUUUCUCAUUUUUACAUUUUUCUCUCUCUUCAAAUCUUUAAAUGAAUCUGAGUUCAGUUGAGAAAAAACGCAAUUAUGUUUUCUAUUAGCCUGUGACUUUUAUUUUCUUAGCAAUGAAGAAAACUAUUAGUGCAGUCUUUUAGAUUGCAAUUACUGGCUCCAGAAAAAAUAUAUAUUGCGAUCAAUAAUAUGUCAUUAAAGGAAAAGAUGAGGUUUGAGGAAUGAAAGUAACAGAGCCGGAGCUGCAACAGUAUGUGUAAGGUCCCAUUUUCAAGCAAGCCCUUAGACACCAAGGCACAUACACACGCACAUUUCCCCAAAAUGCACUGUCGUCAGGUCCAUCUUGUGAAUGCCAUCAAUAAAUAAUCUGACUCUUUUUUUAACGCAUUUUUAAGAAUACCAGGUGAUGAUAUUUUUCAAAGGGAACACAUUCAGUGCACCUGCUGAUACACACAGAAUAUGCCAACAUAAAAAAAGAUCAAAGGAAAACGCCUCUUGUCUUCCACAACAGAAAUUCCUAUUUGUGCACCUUCAUUAAAGGAGGCGAUGUGCUCCAAACAAGAGAGGAUGGAGCCUCGUUUGAAAUGUCAGCCUUCUAAGAUAUUAAUUGGAGCUGAGGCCCUCCAAUCAAGAGAACAAAACAGUGUGUCCACAGAGUCAUAAAAAUAAAGGAAGAAAAACUCUGGCCUCAUUACCAACUUUUACCAAGCAUGCAGAAUGCAGCAGUGCCUGGAGGAAGUGGAUUGCACACACGCUGAAAUUAAACAGCCUGACACAAACUCUGAGAAUUACCUGGACAAACAAAUGUACAGGCUUCUUGUGCUUACAGGUAAACUUUUAUGCGUGCUGAUUAAAAAUGAUCUAU